UGAGUGAAGUGGGGACACAGAAGGAUAGACAGAGCACGCCGUUGGUAGAGCGUGUCCAAGCAGUGAGGCUUGUGCGUAGGCAAAUCCGCGCACUAAAAGGCUAGGCUGUGAUGGGGAGGAAAAAAAGUACCGGAAGCUGUUGAUUUCACACUGUCAAGAAAAGCCGCUAGCGAGACCGUAGGUGCCCGUACCGCAAACCGACACAGGUAGAUGAGGAGAGAAUCCUAAGGUGAGCGAGAGAACUAUUGUUAAGGAACUCGGCAAAAUUACCCCGUAACUUCGGGAGAAGGGGUGCCAUCGAAAGAUGGCCGCAGUGAAAAGGCCCAGGCGACUGUUUAGCAAAAACACAGGUCUCUGCUAAAGCGAAAGCUGAAGUAUAGGGGCUGACGCCUGCCCGGUGCUGGAAGGUUAAGGGGACUGCUUAGAGCAAUCGAAGGCAUGAACUUAAGCCCCAGUAAACGGCGGCCGUAACAAUAACGGUCCUAAGGUAGCGAAAUUCCUUGUCAGGUAAGUUCUGACCCGCACGAAAGGCGUAACGAUCUGGGCGCUGUCUCAACAAUAGACUCGGUGAAAUUGUAGUACCGGUAAAGAUGCCGGUUACCCGCAGCAGGACGGAAAGACCCCGUGGAGCUUUACUGCAGCUUGAUAUUGGAUUUCGGCAUUGCAUGUACAGGAUAGGUGGGAGACUUUGAACUCAGUACGCCAGUAUUGAGGGAGUCACCGUUGGGAUACCACCCUUGUAAUGUUGAGGUUCUAACUUUGUACCGUGACCCGGUAUGAGGACAGUGUCUGGCGGGCAGUUUGACUGGGGCGGUCGCCUCCUAAAGAGUAACGGAGGCGCCCAAAGGUUCCCUCAGUGCGGACGGAAAUCGCACGAAGAGUGUAAAGGCAGAAGGGAGCUUGACUGCGAGACAAACAGGUCGAGCAGGGACGAAAGUCGGGCUUAGUGAUCCGGUGGUACCGAGUGGAAGGGCCAUCGCUCAACGGAUAAAAGCUACCCCGGGGAUAACAGGCUGAUACCCCCCAAGAGUCCACAUCGACGGGGGUGUUUGGCACCUCGAUGUCGGCUCGUCUCAUCCUGGGGCUGAAGUAGGUCCCAAGGGUUGGGCUGUUCGCCCAUUAAAGAGGUACGCGAGCUGGGUUCAGAACGUCGUGAGACAGUUCGGUCCCUAUCCGCUGUGGGCGUUGGAGAUUUGAGUGGAGCUGUUCUUAGUACGAGAGGACCGGGAUGGACAUACCUCUGGUGCACCAGUUGUUCUGCCAAGGGCAUAGCUGGGUAGCCACGUAUGGAAGGGAUAAGUGCUGAAAGCAUCUAAGUACGAAGCCCCCCACAAGACAAGAUCUCCUCCUUAAAGGUAAGACCCGUGAGAGACUAUCACGUUGAUAGGUCGGAGGUGGAAGUGCAGUAAUGCAUGGAGCUGACCGAUACUAAUAGGUCGAAAACUUGACUAA
rnacentral:rRNA from 1 species